CGCGGCCUAUCAGCUUGUUGGUGAGGUAAUGGCUCACCAAGGCGACGACGGGUAGCCGGCCUGAGAGGGUGACCGGCCACACUGGGACUGAGACACGGCCCAGACUCCUACGGGAGGCAGCAGUGGGGAAUAUUGCACAAUGGGCGAAAGCCUGAUGCAGCGACGCCGCGUGAGGGAUGACGGCCUUCGGGUUGUAAACCUCUUUCAGUAGGGAAGAAGCGAAAGUGACGGUACCUGCAGAAGAAGCGCCGGCUAACUACGUGCCAGCAGCCGCGGUAAUACGUAGGGCGCAAGCGUUAUCCGGAAUUAUUGGGCGUAAAGAGCUCGUAGGCGGUUUGUCGCGUCUGCCGUGAAAGUCCGGGGCUUAACUCCGGAUCUGCGGUGGGUACGGGCAGACUUGAGUGAUGUAGGGGAGACUGGAAUUCCUGGUGUAGCGGUGAAAUGCGCAGAUAUCAGGAGGAACACCGAUGGCGAAGGCAGGUCUCUGGGCAUUAACUGACGCUGAGGAGCGAAAGCAUGGGGAGCGAACAGGAUUAGAUACCCUGGUAGUCCAUGCCGUAAACGUUGGGCACUAGGUGUGGGGGACAUUCCACGUUUUCCGCGCCGUAGCUAACGCAUUAAGUGCCCCGCCUGGGGAGUACGG
rnacentral:rRNA from 1 species